rnacentral:lncRNA from 1 species
CGGUGUGGAACUUGUUGUCGCAUAAGUAGAGGGAAGCGUUGAUGGGCUUGAAAGGCUCGAAGUCGAUGGUGACUUUCUUCUCCUUGCCGUCGUCUGUGACGAUGGUGCCCGUGUAGAGGACGAGGCCGUUGGGGGGGACUUUGUUGUAAAGCUUGAGCCUUUGCUGAGCUGAGGUGAUGGCGGAGAGGACGGACUGGCGGUUGACGCGGCUCUUGAUGUUCGAGGCGGUUCCGUGAGGCCGUUGGGGGGGACUUUGUUGUAAAGCUUGAGGCGUUGCUGAGCGGAGGUGAUGGCGGAGAGGACGGAUUGGCGGUUGACGCGGCUCUUGAUGUUCGAGGCGGUUCCGUACUCGUCGGCGAGCAUCUUGGUGACGCGGGCGACUUGGUCUCGUGGAGGCAUUAUGAGGGAGAUCAUGCUUGUGCCGUUGCCUCUCGCG